GGACCCGUAGCUCAGUUGGUUAGAGCGCACGGCUUAUGUCCGUGAGGCCGACGGUUCAAGCCCGUCCGGGUCCA